rnacentral:misc_RNA from 1 species
GGUGGUGACGGUACAUUAUCUCCCUGCCAAUGAACUAUAACAGUAAGCCACAAACCUUUAAAAAAAUUCCUUAAAAUGAGUGAGAUGAACAUGUCCAAUCACUAGUCAUACCAUAUUCUUCCAUGCUCUAAUGCAAUUAAUUAUAAAAUUGAUAAAUAAAAUACAAUUAUAACUCCAGCAGCAAAUCCAGGAACCCAAAGUGAUUCCAUUAAUGCAAAGAUUAAGAUUGAAUAAGAUGCAUGAAAGCUACAACAUUCCUACAUAAAUUCUAGUUGAACAGCCAUAAAAGCUACACUUCCUCAUACUUUAGCAUGUUUUAACCAUAUUUAAGUUUCCCAAAUAAAAUCUUAUUUGCAAUAGCUUUUAACUCAAUCACCAAAGAAAAAUAUAGAGGAAACACAGAAAAACCACCAAGCAUGAUAGAUAAAUUAGGAGUGACUCAAGCCAAUCCUUAACCUUAACAGUAUUUAAGCGUGAUGAUACAUCCUUAACAACAGUAUGUCGAUCUAAAACCUGACAACAAGAAAAAAAUGACCAAUAGGAGGUAGACAAGCAAAGCAUAGGAAUACACUUUCAGGUAUUACCAUGGAGCUGCUACUGCCUUCCA